GUUGGUUCAAGUGGUAAGCCGCUUGUUCCGCUUAAGCGAGGUCUCGGUUUCGAAUCUCCGUGUAUGCAGCAAUACCCAUUGGUAGCCUCACCUGCCACUGCCAGGCAUGCGACCCGGGGCGACCACCAGAUUAGUCGGGGCAUCCCGUCUACUGGGGCUGGCGACCAAAAAAAAAAAAACAUGGGAUAUGGUUAGUAAGAUAUAAAUGCAAAGCAAAUAAUGUUUUGCUUGAUGCAUAUAUAAACAAUUCAAGAAAAAUAACAAACACAAACAAUAUCUAAUUUUGUUGAAUAAAAUUAUCAUG
rnacentral:lncRNA from 1 species